rnacentral:lncRNA from 1 species
UGGGGGAGGGGUUUUGUGGGGUUUGGGGCCCCCUGAUGGAGAACAUUGUGGGGAAAACAAGCGCGUGUCCCCCCCCCGCGCCCCAUUCCUGAGGUGAUUUUUGUGUGAAAAGCCAUAAAACUGACUUUUUUUUGAGAGGGAGGGAGGUCUUGGGGAGACGGCUCGAUAAAGGUAAAAAUGGGGCUGGUGGAUUGCAGGGUUUCACCCCAGAAAGGGUGGAAAAUUGUGAGGGGGUUCAUGGGUCCUUUGCCUGCGGGAUCAAAAAGGGGGGGGGGGAAACAAGCUGAAAAGCUGCAAUUUUUACUUUAGGUAUUUUUUUUAAAGUGUUCCCUUCGUUCUACGUGUAGUUCUGUGCUGAAAUCGGUGUUUUCUGGUGCCGAAAAGAAAGGAAAAAUAGGCUUAAAAUUGCGGGCAGAGCUGUCCGACCCUGAAGGAGACAAAAUGGCUGCCGGGGGGAGGGGGCCUCUUCUGGGCUCAUUGUGCAGCUUUUUGGUGCAAUCCCUGAAAGAAAAUCAGCGUUUCCACUCAGGAAACGCCCUGGAAACACGGCGGAAAAACUCGUCCGUUGCCCAGUGACCGCCCGCGUCAUCGCCUCGUCAGCCGCAUUAAUUGGCCCUAAUUACUGGUUUCCCACAUUUUUUGGGGGGGUGUCCUCACUAGCAGCGAUUUUGGGGUGUCAUUACCUGCGACAUGGGAGCGGGGGCUGCCCGGAAAUGCCUCAAAAUGCCGCAAACAGGGAUUUUUUUUUUGCUUAAAAAUGGCCAGCAUGGCUGAGGCUGCGCAAUGACUCAGCAUGGCCUUGAAAUUGUAGAAAAUGAGGAGAUUUGGGGGUAUUUUAAUGAAAAAAAUACAUUAAGAGGCUUCGUGCUUUGAUGGGAAGCGGGGUGGGGAUGAAAAAGGUUUGUCUGAGCUUUGUCGAAAGGGGGGAAUUAAAAAGGGGG